UCUGGGCUGAUGGCUCAGAGCCUGGAGCCUGUUUCCGAUUCUGUGUCUCCCUCUCUCUCUGCCCCUCCCCCGUUCAUGCUCUGUCUCUCUCUGUCGCAAAAAUAAAUAAAAAAAAAAAAGUUGAAAAAGAAAAAAAAUUUAAAAAAAUAAAUAAUUUCACUCUAUUUAACUUUUAGGUAUUGGUGAAUUAACCUUGGAUGAUGUUCAGAAUUCUCAGAAGAAAAGUUUGAAAAUAGUUUUGAAAUACAAUAUUAUCAGAUAGUACUACCUAAAGCACGCUGUCAGAUCCACUUUCAGAUCUCUUUCCACUCUCAAAACAACAGAUUAAAGUCCUUUAAACUGCAGAAGUAUUAGAUCACUGCCAAUUUAUCAACAAAACAAAGUAAGGAGCCUCUUGCAAACAAUCACCUCAUAAUUUUUCUUAAAUAACUGAAGAAGCAAGUUGUGAGCUCAGCUACUAUGUAUGCAAAAGACUCCUGCAGAUGACCAGAGAAUAGAGAUGACAGGCAGCAGUGAAAUGUGGCACAAAAAUCUGUCUCUGGGACCAUUCGAAGAGUUCUGAAUCACAACUUCGGCACCUGUUAGUGGAGUAGUCUCAGGCAAGUCACUUAACAUUUCUGAACCUUGCUUUCUCUUUAUAAAAUAAAGAAAAUAGAAUCUAUUAGGAAGAGUUCUUU
rnacentral:lncRNA from 1 species